UUUUCAUUUAUUUUUUUACAACUAAAACCACUUCAAAAUAAAUUGGCCUGUAUUUUUGAAGAAUGUUAUCAAAAGUUCAACUAAACUAGUCUAUAUUUAAAUUUCAUGUAUUCCUUGAAUACAUGGUGAGUUAAUCAUUCAAAUAUUAACUACAAAUGUUGUAAAAGGCUGUAUUACAUAAAGAAUAGAGUUACCAUGGAAACUGUUCAAAUGUUAUCACCAUAGUAACAAAGAUUGAUCUUUGUGUUUUUUCGUGUUUUAUGCAUUCCGUUCUUACAUUGUACUAUAUUGUUAUUGUUAUUUGAACUCAUGCAAGUC
rnacentral:lncRNA from 1 species